rnacentral:rRNA from 1 species
CAUAAUCAUUAGUUUUUUAAUUGAAAACUCGUAUGAAUGGUUGGACAAAGAAGAAGCUGUCUCUUUUAUUUAUAUUGAAUUUAACUUUUAAGUGAAAAGGCUUAAAUUCUCUAGAGGGACGAUAAGACCCUAUAAAGCUUUAUAAGUUUAAAGAUUUUAUGUAUGUUUUAUAUAAAGAUAAAUUUUAAAAUAACUUAUUUAGUUGGGGCGACAAUGGUAUAAUUAAAAUAACUGCUAUAAUGUAUUAACAAAUAUAUUUGGAUAACAUGAAUAAUUGAUCCUUUAUAAGGAUUUUAAGAUCAAGUUACUUUAGGGAUAACAGCGUUAUUUUUCCUGAGAGUUCUUAUCAAAGGAAAAGUUUGCGACCUCGAUGUUGAAUUAAAAUGUCUUUAUAGUGCAGCAGCUAUAAAAGAAGGUCUGUUCGACCUUUAAUAUUUUACAUGAUUUGAGUUCAGACCGGCGGGAGCCAGGUCGGUUUCUAUCUUCUAGAAAGUGAAAAGAGUAUUUUAGUACGAAAGGAUUGGGUAGUCGAAAUUUUUUUAAAUUAUGAAAU